rnacentral:rRNA from 1 species
GGAAUCUUCCACAAUGGGCGCAAGCCUGAUGGAGCAACACCGCGUGAGUGAAGAAGGGUUUCGGCUCGUAAAGCUCUGUUGUUAAAGAAGAACACGUAUGAGAGUAACUGUUCAUACGUUGACGGUAUUUAACCAGAAAGUCACGGCUAACUACGUCCAG